AUAACAUGCUUUUCAGGAGUUUGUUUUGCUUGACGAGUGUUUGACCUAUUUUACAAUAAACUACUGUCAUAAAUAUUGUCGGAGCAAAAUAAAAGAAAAAUAUAAUUAUGUAUGCAUAGUAAAAUCUCUCAUAAACCACCCUUACGACAUUAUGCCGCAUAAAGCAUAGAGGCAAAAAUGGUCCAUAGCCCGCAAUGAGACCAGCAAUGUACACCACACUACAAGCGACUUUCAGUUUCCGUCGACUGAUGGCGUGUUUCAAGGGAUGUACCUGAGCACGAUAACGAAGUACUGAAAUUAUCAACAUCAUACCUAUUCCUGCCACUUGAAAGACGUAACUUAUCUUUAUACCAACACAAUACUUGACGGAAGUAUCAAAAAGUGGUUGAAAUUCAAGGUUGACAUGAUCCAAAAGAUAAAUGACCGUUGUUGCCAGAUCACAGAUCGCAAGUUGUAAAACAAGAAAGUAGUAGCUUCUCUUCAAAACACCCUUUUGUCUUAGUAUCGACAUGAUUACCAAACCAUUACCGAUAAUCCCAAAUAAAAGUAGUACAACGCCGGAAUAUUUAUAGACAUCGAAUGUUGUCUUCUCCAUUGUUUC